rnacentral:rRNA from 1 species
CUACGGGCUGCACCAGUGAGGAAUAUUGCACAAUGGGGGGAACCCUGAUGCAGCAACGCCGCGUGGAGGAUGACGCAUUUCGGUGUGUAAACUCCUUUUAUAUGUCAAGAAAAUGACGGUAGCAUAUGAAUAAGCACCGGCUAACUCCGUGCCAGAAGCCGUGGUAAUACGGAGGGUGCAAGCGUUACUCGGAAUCACUGGGCGUAAAGGACGCGUAGGCGGGUUGGAAAGUCAGGUGUGAAAUCCUACAGCUUAACUGUAGAACUGCACUUGAAACUUCUAAUCUAGAGUAUGGGAGGGGGAGAGGGAAUUAGUGGUGUAGGGGUAAAAUCCGUAGAUAUCACUAGGAAUACCUAAAGCGAAGGCGAUCUCCUGGAACAUUACUGACGCUAAGGCGUGAAAGCGUGGGGAGCAAACAGGAUUAGAUACCCCAGUAGUC